rnacentral:lncRNA from 1 species
GUGAGAAGUUCUAAGGCAUUUGUGUAUUGCACCGGAGACUGAAAGAAGGCCCUGAGAAUGUGGCCUGAUUUUCUCUUCUGUUAUUACAACUGCUCUUCUGCUUGAGUUUCUUCUACACCUUCAAGAUGGCUGAAGAACAAGACGCUUUCUCUCCAUGUCUAUGCUGUUUCACUAUGCUGCAAAUAUUCCCAGCCUUUUCCCCUUGAUGCCCAAAAUAAAUUCCUCAAAUACCCUGA